UACGUAGGGUGCGAGCGUUGUCCGGAAUUACUGGGCGUAAAGAGCUCGUAGGUGGUUUGUCGCGUUGUCCGUGAAAACUCACAGCUUAACUGUGGGCGUGCGGGCGAUACGGGCAGACUGGAGUACUGCAGGGGAGACUGGAAUUCCUGGUGUAGCGGUGGAAUGCGCAGAUAUCAGGAGGAACACCGGUGGCGAAGGCGGGUCUCUGGGCAGUAACUGACGCUGGAGGAGCGGAAAGCGUGGGGAGCGAACAGG
rnacentral:rRNA from 1 species